GACGAACGCUGGCGGCGUGCUUAACACAUGCAAGUCGAACGGAAAGGCCCUGCUUGUGUGGGGUGCUCGAGUGGCGAACGGGUGAGUAACACGUGAGUAACCUGCCCUUGACUUUGGGAUAACGUCAGGAAACUGGGGCUAAUACCGGAUAGGAGCUCCUGCUGCAUGGUGGGGGUUGGAAAGUUUCGGCGGUUGGGGAUGGACUCGCGGCUUAUCAGCUUGUUGGUGGGGUAGUGGCUUACCAAGGCUUUGACGGGUAGCCGGCCUGAGAGGGUGACCGGCCACAUUGGGACUGAGAUACGGACCAGACUCCUACGGGAGGCAGCAGUGGGGAAUAUUGCACAAUGGGCGGAAGCCUGGUGCAGCAACGCCGCGUGCGGGAUGACGGCCUUCGGGUUGUAAACCGCUUUCGCCUGUGACGAAGCGUGAGUGACGGUAACGGGUAAAGAAGCACCGGCUAACUACGUG
rnacentral:rRNA from 1 species